UCAUCUGACUCGGAGAGGCUAUCCGGAUUGGGGCCAUUAUUCUACGAAGAAGACCUCCUCGCCGAUGACACCGAGGGUGAGGAGAUCGAAGAGGCGGACGUGGAUGUCACGAUGGUGGAGGUAAAACGGACAGAUUCUGAUGAAGCUGAUCCAGAUCAACCUCCACCACUCUAAACUCGCGUCUGCGAACCUUGAGGUCCGCCUGGCUGCCGGUGGACUCGACGUUGCCCUCAUCCAGGAACCGUGGAUACACGGCAAUAAAAUCUGCGGACUUGGGAUGAAGGGCUUUAAGCUUAUUGCCGCACAAAAUGCAGCUUAGUGACGGCGAUCUGGUAGUGGCAAGCAUUGAGCUGGACAAAACCAGCUUUUGGGUAGCCUCUGCCUACAUGGCCCAUGACAAGGA